UGUUACAAUUGUUACAUAUAUUUUACAAUUUUUUACAUAUUUGUUAAACCUGUCAUUAUUUCCUGACAGUAGAAUAUGAGACAGAUAAUCUGUGAAAGAAUCAAGCUCCUCUGGCUCCUACCAGUGGUCCUAUUGCCAUUUGCAGAAAGUCAUCCGCUCCCGUGACGAUUAAUUUGGAGCAAGAUAAACUGGGGGAGUGACUUUGUGUCAGACAUGUGUCACUUCUCUCACAUCUGAUUGGUCCAACUUCAGUUUGAGAUCUCUAACCCAGAACAUAACCUGCCCCGGAGCAGGUGAGCCGUGGAGUGUAAGUUACUAUGGCAAUGAAUGCUACUAAAAGCCAAGCCACUUACAUGGUACCUAAAACCCAGGGUUGGUGCAAACUAACCUGAAACUUACCUGGCCAGCCAGCUAAUCCAGCUUCAUGGUACAGGCCCCUGGUGUUUAAAAGCUGUGGCUUGUUUUCAUUAUAAGAGGUUGAAUUAUUAUUUUGCUAUCACCCAACUUCAGCUAUGGACAGUGUUUGGAAAUUGAUGUACUAAAGAUGACACUUUCACACACAUCAACUUUCACAUGAUGAAAUCCUAUAAUCUUACAUUGCUUUGUGUUUGUUUGUUUUUUGGUACUUUUGUAUGUUUACAUUUUUGGCUAUAUGUAGCUGUAUUAACCUGAAUUGACCAUUGACCUGAAUUUAAUAAAAUCAUUGAAAUCC